rnacentral:misc_RNA from 1 species
GAAAUGCGAUAAGUAAUGUGAAUUGCAGAAUUCAGUGAAUCAUCGAAUCUUUGAACGCACAUUGCGCCCGCCAGUAUUCUGGCGGGCAUGCCUGUUCGAGCGUCAUUUCAACCCCUCAGGCCCUGGUGCCUGGCGUCGGGGGCUUCCCGCGAGGGAACCCCUUAGAAACAGUGGCGGACCCGCCGCGGCUCCGAGCGCAGUAGUAACAUUCUCGCUCUGGAGGUCCGCGGGGGGAUUCCGGCCGUUAAACCGGGCCUCGGCCCACUUUCUCAAGGUUGACCUCGGAUCAGGUAGGAAUACCCGCUGAACUUAA